GUGAACGCUGGCGGCGUGCUUAACACAUGCCAGUCGAACGGAAAGGCCCAAGCUUGCUUGGGUGCUCGAGUGGCGAACGGGUGAGUAACACGUGGGUGAUCUGCCCUGCACUUUGGGAUAAGCCUGGGAAACUGGGUCUAAUACCGGAUAGGACCAUCGUUUAGUGUCGGUGGUGGAAAGUUUUUCGGUGUGGGAUGAGCUCGCGGCCUAUCAGCUUGUUGGUGGGGUAAUGGCCUACCAAGGCGUCGACGGGUAGCCGGCCUGAGAGGGUGUACGGCCACAUUGGGACUGAGAUACGGCCCAGACUCCUACGGGAGGCAGCAGUGGGGAAUAUUGCACAAUGGGCGCAAGCCUGAUGCAGCGACGCCGCGUGGGGGAUGACGGCCUUCGGGUUGUAAACUCCUUUCGCCAAGGACGAAGCGUUUUGUGACGGUACUUGGAGAAGAAGCACCGGCUAACUACGUG
rnacentral:rRNA from 1 species